rnacentral:rRNA from 1 species
GAUGAACGCUGGCGGCGUGCCUAAUACAUGCAAGUCGAGCGAACGGACGAGAAGCUUGCUUUUCUGAUGUUAGCGGCGGACGGGUGAGUAACACGUGGAUAACCUACCUAUAAGACUGGGAUAACUUCGGGAAACCGGAGCUAAUACCGGAUAAUAUUUUGAACCGCAUGGUUCAAAAGUGAAAGACGGUCUUGCUGUCACUUAUAGAUGGAUCCGCGCUGCAUUAGCUAGUUGGUAAGGUAACGGCUUACCAAGGCAACGAUGCAUAGCCGACCGGAGAGGGGGAUCGGGCAACAGGGAGCUGAGACACGGUCACGACCCCGACGGGAGCCAGCAGUGGGGAAUGUUCGGGAAAGGGGGAAUGCUGGACGAAGGAACCCCGCGGGAGUGAGGAAGGUCUUAGGAGCGUAAAACCCUGUUGUUAGGGAAAAACAUAUGUGUAAGGAACAGUGCACAUCGUGACGGUACCUAAACAGAAAGCCACGGCUAACUACGUG